rnacentral:rRNA from 1 species
UGUAAGCGUAUACCAAAGUUGUUGCAGUUAAAACGCUCGUAGUCGGAAUUUGGCAGUUCCGGAUGUGUGCACGUCGUGUGCGCACUUCGCGGGGAUUGCUUUUGUGGUCUUGCGUAGGAUGAGGCACUUUUAUUAGUGAACGUCCUCACGCAACCACUUUUUACUGUGAGAAAAUCAGAGUGCUCAAAGCAGGCAUUUGCCGUGAAUGUAUUAGCAUGGAAUAAUAGAAUAGGACUUGGUUCUAUUUUGUUGGUUUGUUGGGACUGAGUAAUGAUUAAGAGGGACAGUUGGGGGCAUUUGUAUUUCGGUGCUAGAGGUGAAAUUCUUAGAUUACCGAAAGACAAACUGCUGCGAAAGCGUCUGCCAAGGAGGUUUUCAUUGA